UAAUAAGACAAUGUCCAGUUAAUAUCCCCAGAAACGAAGAGAGUAGCGAUUUUGUUAGCUUCAAUGGUGACAUAGUCCUACCAAGAGAUUCCGCUGAUGUUGGAGCAGAAAAUAAGAGCUAGAGAACUGAAAAGGUACCCAGAUCAGUUUAUAAGUCUUUUAUAAGGCCUGUCCUGAUUUAAGUCCUUAAAUGUUUUUGAAAAGGAUUCUGCGGAAGAUAUAUGGUCCUUUGCGGACUUGAAACAACAAUAACCUAAGACGGCGCAACGUUGGUGGGCUUGGCUUACUUGGUGUUUCUAAUUCCUUGGUGUUCCAAUCAGCCAAAGAAUCAAAAUUUGACAUAAUUUAUUGACCUUGGCUAAAAUCGCUUAAGGAAAAUGGCAGUGAA